rnacentral:ncRNA from 1 species
UUGAGCGGAGUGCGAUGAAAGUUGCACGCUCCGUUCUUAGAAGGGGGCAUAGAAUUAAUUACCAUGAAAACGCUCAAAUAGAAAGGUCAGCGGCCUUUAGCCGCUUUCCAGGCAUUCGUUUUUCCUCACCUCAU